rnacentral:rRNA from 1 species
GACGAACGCUGGCGGCGUGCUUAACACAUGCAAGUCGAACGGAAAGGCCUCUUUCGGGGGGUACUCGAGUGGCGAACGGGUGAGUAACACGAGAGUAACCUGCCCUUGACUUUGGGAUAACUUCAGGAAACUGGGGCUAAUACCGGAUAGGAGCUCCUGCUGCAUGGUGGGGGUUGGAAAGUUUCGGCGGUUGGGGAUGGACUCGCGGCUUAUCAGCUUGUUGGUGGGGUAGUGGCUUACCAAGGCUUUGACGGGUAGCCGGCCUGAGAGGGUGACCGGCCACAUUGGGACUGAGAUACGGCCCAGACUCCUACGGGAGGCAGCAGUGGGGAAUAUUGCACAAUGGGUGGAAGCCUGAUGCAGCAACGCCGUGUGCGGGAUGACGGCCUUCGGGUUGUAAACCGCUUUUGCUCAUGACGAAGCUUUGUGUGACGGUAGUGGGUAAAGAAGCACCGGCUAACUACGUG